rnacentral:rRNA from 1 species
UACGGGGGGAGCAAGCGUUGUUCGGAUUUACUGGGCGUAAAGGGCGCGUAGGCGGGCGCGACAAGUCACUUGUGAAAUCUCCGGGCUUAACUCGGAGCGGCCAAGUGAUACUGUCGUGCUAGAGUGCGGAAGGGGGCAACUGGAAUUCUCGGUGUAGCGGUGAAAUGCGUAGAUAUCGAGAGGAACACCUGCGGCGAAGGCGGGUUGCUGGGCCGACACUGACGCUGAAGCGCGAAAGCCAGGGGAGCGAACGGG